rnacentral:tRNA from 1 species
CAAGGAAUAGUUUAAUUAAGAAUUUUAGCUUUGGGAGCUAAGGGUGGGGGUUAAAAUCCCCUUUCUUUGA